AUUGAACGCUGGCGGCAGGCUUAACACAUGCAAGUCGAGCGGAGUGAUGGUGCUUGCACUAUCACUUAGCGGCGGACGGGUGAGUAAUGCUUAGGAAUCUGCCUAUUAGUGGGGGACAACAUCUCGAAAGGGAUGCUAAUACCGCGUACGUCCUACGGGAGAAAGCAGGGGAUCACUUGUGACCUUGCGCUAAUAGAUGAGCCUAAGUCGGAUUAGCUAGUUGGUGGGGUAAAGGCCUACCAAGGCGACGAUCUGUAGCGGGUCUGAGAGGAUGAGCCGCCACACUGGGACUGAGAAACGGCCCAGACUCCUACGGGAGGCAGCAGUGGGGAAUAUUGGACAAUGGGGGGAACCCUGAUCCAGCCAUGCCGCGUGUGUGAAGAAGGCCUUAUGGUUGUAAAGCACUUUAAGCGAGGAGGAGGCUCUUUUGGUUAAUACCCAAGAUGAGUGGACGUUACUCGCAGAAUAAGCACCGGCUAACUCUGUGCCAGCCGCCGCGGUAA
rnacentral:rRNA from 1 species